rnacentral:rRNA from 1 species
UGGCGGCGCGCCUAAUACNUGCAAGUCGAACGAGAAUGUGUAGCAAUACACAUGUACAGUGGCGAACGGGUGAGGACUACAUGGGUAACCUACCCUCGAGUGGGGAAUAACUAGCCGAAAGGUUAGCUAAUACCGCGUACGCCUCCUGGACUGCGGUUCGGGAGGGAAAGCGAUACCGUGGGUAUCGCGCUCUUGGAUGGGCUCAUGCCCUAUCAGCUUGUUGGUGAGGUAACGGCUCACCAAGGCAUCGACGGGUAGCUGAUCUGAGAGGAUGAUCAGNCACACUGGCACUGCGACACGGGNCAGACUCCUACGGGAGGCAGNAGUAAGGAAUAUUGCGCAAUGGGCGAAAGCCUGACGCAGCGACGCCGCGUGGGGGAUGAAGGUCUUCGGAUUGUAAACCCC